UGAGGGACUCACAUGGUGUGG
rnacentral:piRNA from 1 species